CUGCCUCUCGCGCCGAGCCGACUUUCGUGUGUGUGGUCUGAGAGCUUGGAGUGGUGGUGCCUCUGCGGUGCGGGUCCCCGGUUUAGUUUAAUCCUCCCCUCAUCUGCAUGCUGAUCACGUUUGCCUGUGCUGUGGGACUGAAGUGCGGUGUGAAGUGUGUUUGUCUUGCAUGUGUGCCUGGGGUGGCCUUUGUUUGGAUCCCCUCACCUCAUUUAGCCCACCUAUCUCCUGGUAAGCCUCAGCCAUCUUUUAUUUUUGAAUCGUGGGUUUUGUUUUGUUGAUUUUAAAUAAAGAUUGUUUAAUUGAUUGGA